CAUGUAACCACUAGGUGGCGGUAAGAGUGCAAAUGUUCGCUUUUUUCUCAGAAGCAGUAGAAGAAGAAGCUACGGAUGGAGGGAAGAGAGCGGACGGAGUCUGAACUUCGCGGCUUUUUCAAAUUUAUGUUGCUGGGUCGUCUUUUUGCUGAGGAGGUGGCACUUUUUUUGGACAAAAUAAAGGAUAUUUUGGACGAAGAGAAGACAAAUCACCACAUUUUGAUUCACCUGCAGCCGUGUUGCAGAGGAGAAAUACAUUUAUUCACAUGGAUUGAAGCAGAAUUUGCUGGUCUGACAUCUGUUAAUCUCAAGGCUACUUUCUUCAAUGGGCUGGAUCAGUUCCUACCAGGGCUACUAGACCUGUACGAGCCCACGGCUGGGACGCUAGCUGGACUGAGCAAUCUGUCUUGAUCAACCCUCUACUCAAAGAAAGAUGGAAAUUGUUCUGCUGGGCCUUCCCCACUUUCUCAAGGAGGACCCAAAACUGCUUAGUCCCCUGAUGAGGAGGCUUCAAUCAUGGGAGGGUUGAAACUUGUUGUUGUACUAAUUGAAGAUGGAGAAGACAUGGUGGAACAUCAGUUGUUCUUGAAGAACAAAUCAUUUUGAAUGAUAUGAAGAACUUUCCUCAUGCUAUUGCUCUGCUGAUGGGCCUGCUGUCUGCACCCAACAUGGACUAUACCAAAGGCCAGCGCUACACUUUUGAAGUCAUUCAAAAGAUCUUCAUGGACAUUGGUGAGGGACAGUGCUCCUCGUUAGUUCAUGGUCUGAGAAUUACAAUAUAGAUUUUUGUUUGAUUAAUUAUGGUUUUGUCUACAGAACGUAAUGAAAGUAACCUGUAAAGGAAGGAGUUCUUGCCCAACGUAUUAUUUUUUUCUCCUGAGCAUAAUGGGAGUAAGAAAUGUCCAUCCUGAAAUCAUUUUUGUUUGGAAAAUAAAUAAAGGAAUUGUGGUUUAAAAUUUAUUGUUUUUCUUGAAAACCCACUUGUUUUAAUUAUCUAUCAUUUUCUAUUUCAAUGAAUCACGGUAUCCAAAUAUUGUAGUACUAAUUUAGGGAAUUUUAAAUUUUUUAAAUAUUCUUCUUUAGGUCUAGUCAAUUAAAAAUCU